rnacentral:sRNA from 1 species
UACCUGUACAAAGAGUAACACAGUUCAA